rnacentral:sRNA from 1 species
AUGGCUGUCGUCAGCUCGUGUCGUGAGAUGUUCGGUUAAGUCCGGCAACGAGCGCAACCCACAUCCCUAGUUGCCAGCAGGUUAAGCUGGGCACUCUAUGGAAACUGCCCGUGAUAAGCGGGAGGAAGGUGUGGAUGACGUCAAGUCCUCAUGGCCCUUACGGGUUGGGCUACACACGUGCUACAAUGGCACCUACAGUGGGUUAAUCCCCAAAAGGUGUCUCAGUUCGGAUUGUCGUCUGCAACUCGACGGCAUGAAGUCGGAAUCGCUAGUAAUCGCGUAACAGCAUGACGCGGUGAAUACGUUCCCGGGCCUUGUACACACCGCCCGUCACACCAUGGGAGUUGGUUCUACCCGACGGCCGUGCGCUAACUUUUGAGGCAGCGGACCACGGUGGGAUCAGCGACUGGGGUGAAGUCGUAACAAGGUAGCCGUAGGGGAACCUGCGGCUGGAUCACCUCCUUUCUAAGGAUGAUUUUAGUAGAUUGGCUUGCCAUUCUCGUAAAUCACUUAGCAGUCUCUUUAAGAGGCAAAUAUAAUCAAACUGUCCUCAUAUCUCUUCUUUUGCUAACACGGGCUACCGCCCGUAUGGGUCGGUAGCUCAGGUGGUUAGAGCGCACGCCUGAUAAGCGUGAGGUCGGAGGUUCAAGUCCUCCUCGACCCACCAUGAAUAUUAAUUAUUUUGGGGCCUUAGCUCAGCUGGGAGAGCGCCUGAUUUGCAUUCAGGAGGUCAGGAGUUCGAUCCUCCUAGGCUCCACCAAAAAUUCUGUGUUCUAUAUCUAAUUUGAUCGCUAAACAGAUUAUUCUGUUUAGCCGUCCGAUUGGACGAGUGCCAUAGAGGCAUUUUACAUCGUGAAGAGAGAUACAAUAUCAACACUAUUUGGUGCAUAUAAGUAAGUAUGUAACCUCAGUACUGUGAAACAGAUUUAUUUGUGGACAGCUUUUGGAAUAGGUCUUUUCCUCGACCUCCCUUAAGUUUGCUUGCUGAAAAGAAUAGAGUUGUCCAAGUCAAGUACACUAACUUAAUCAUUCCUUUUGGAAUGAUGGGAAAGUAAAUUUUAAUGACUUUUGGUUUAGAAAGAAGGCCUAUGUGAACCAGCGUAGGUUGUCAGUUAAGUCUGAUUUUUUCUGGAUCAAAUCAAGCGCGAAAAGGGCGUUUGGUGAAUGCCUUGGCAGUAAGAGGCGAUGAAGGACGUGAUACUCUGCGAUAAGCUAUGGUAAGCCGAGAAUAGGCUCUGAACCAUAGAUCUCCGAAUGGGGAAACCCGG